rnacentral:rRNA from 1 species
GCGGCCUAUCAGCUUGUUGGUGAGGUAAUGGCUCACCAAGGCGACGACGGGUAGCCGGCCUGAGAGGGCAACCGGCCACACUGGGACUGAGACACGGCCCAGACUCCUACGGGAGGCAGCAGUGGGGAAUAUUGGGCAAUGGAGGGAACUCUGACCCAGCGACGCCGCGUGCGGGAUGAAGGCCUUCGGGUUGUAAACCGCUUUCAGCAAGGAAGAAGCGAAAGUGACGGUACUUGCAGAAGAAGCACCGGCUAACUAUGUGCCAGCAGCCGCGGUAAUACAUAGGGUGCAAGCGUUGUCCGGAAUUAUUGGGCGUAAAGAGCUCGUAGGUGGUUCGUUACGUCGGAUGUGAAAAUCUGGGGCUUAACCCCAGACCUGCAUUCGAUACGGGCGAGCUAGAGUGUGGUAGGGGAGACUGGAAUUCCU